AUUGAACGCUGGCGGUAUGCUUAACACAUGCAAGUCGAACGGAAACGAUACUAGCUUGCUAGUAGGCGUCGAGUGGCGGACGGGUGAGUAACGCGUAGGAAUCUGCCUGAUAGUGGGGGAUAGCCCGAAGAAAUUCGGAUUAAUACCGCAUAAUCUAUUCGUAGUAAAGUGGGGGACUUUCGAGCCUCACGCUAUCAGAUGAGCCUGCGUAAGAUUAGCUAGUUGGUAGGGUAAAAGCCUACCAAGGCAACGAUCUUUAGCUGGUCUGAGAGGAUGAUCAGCCACAUCGGGACUGAGACACGGCCCGAACUCCUACGGGAGGCAGCAGUGGGGAAUAUUGGACAAUGGGGGCAACCCUGAUCCAGCAAUACCGCGUGUGUGAAGAAGGCCUGAGGGUUGUAAAGCACUUUCAAUUGUGAAGAAAAGUUAACGGUUAAUAACCGUUAGCCUUGACGUUAACUUUAGAAGAAGCACCGGCUAACUCCGUGCCAGCAGCCGCGGUAAUACGGAGGGUGCAAGCGUUAAUCGGAAUUACUGGGCGUAAAGCGUGCGUAGGCGGUUUAUUAAGUCAGAUGUGAAAGCCCCGGGCUUAACCUGGGAACUGCAUUUGAAACUGGUCAACUAGAGUAUGGUAGAGGAAAGUGGAAUUUCUGGUGUAGCGGUGAAAUGCGUAGAUAUCAGAAGGAACAUCAAUAGCGAAGGCAGCUUUCUGGACCAAUACUGACGCUGAGGUACGAAAGCGUGGGUAGCAAACAGGAUUAGAUACCCUGGUAGUCCACGCCGUAAACGAUGAUAACUAGCCGUUGGGGGGAUUUACCCUUUAGUGGCGAAGCUAACGCGUUAAGUUAUCCGCCUGGGGAGUACGGCCGCAAGGUUAAAACUCAAAGGAAUUGACGGGGACCCGCACAAGCGGUGGAGCAUGUGGUUUAAUUCGAUGCAACGCGAAGAACCUUACCUGGUCUUGACAUCCUGCGAACUUUCUAGAAAUAGAUUGGUGCCUUCGGGAACGCAGUGACAGGUGCUGCAUGGCUGUCGUCAGCUCGUGUCGUGAGAUGUUGGGUUAAGUCCCGUAACGAGCGCAACCCCUAUCCUUAUUUGCCAGCACGUCAUGGUGGGAACUAUAAGGAGACUGCCGGUGAUAAACCGGAGGAAGGCGGGGACGACGUCAAGUCAUCAUGGCCCUUACGACCAGGGCUACACACGUGCUACAAUGGGAAGGACAAAGAGCCGCGAAGCCGCGAGGUGUAGCUAAUCUCAGAAACCUUUUCGUAGUCCGGAUUGGAGUCUGCAACUCGACUCCAUGAAGUCGGAAUCGCUAGUAAUCGUAGAUCAGAAUGCUACGGUGAAUACGUUCCCGGGUCUUGUACACACCGCCCGUCAUACCAUGGGAGUGGGUUGCACCAGAAGUGGCUAGUCUAACUUAGUGAGGACGGUCACCACGGUGUGAUUCAUGACUGGGGUAAAGUCGUAACAAGGUAGCCCUACCGGAAGGUGG
rnacentral:rRNA from 1 species